rnacentral:rRNA from 1 species
UUUGGUUAAGUUAGAAAGGGCGCACGGUGGAUGCCUUGACACUAGGAGUCGAUGAAGGACGGGACUAACGCCGAUAUGCUUCGGGGAGCUGUAAGUAAGCUUUGAUCCGAAGAUUUCCGAAUGGGGAAACCCACCAUACGUAAUGGUAUGGUAUCCUUAUCUGAAUACAUAGGGUAAGGAAGACAGACCCAGGGAACUGAAACAUCUAAGUACCUGGAGGAAGAGAAAGCAAAUGCGAUUUCCUGAGUAGCGGCGAGCGAAACGGAACAUAGCCCAAACCAAGAGGCUUGCCUCUUGGGGUUGUAGGACAUUCUAUACGGAGUUACAAAGGAACGAGGUAGACGAAGCGACCUGGAAAGGUCCGUCGUAGAGGGUAACAACCCCGUAGUCGAAACUUCGUUCUCUCUUGAAUGUAUCCUGAGUACGGCGGAACACGUGAAAUUCCGUCGGAAUCUGGGAGGACCAUCUCCCAAGGCUAAAUACUCCCUAGUGAUCGAUAGUGAACCAGUACCGUGAGGGAAAGGUGAAAAGCACCCCGGAAGGGGAGUGAAAGAGAUCCUGAAACCGUGUGCCUACAAAUAGUCAGAGCCCGUUAACGGGUGAUGGCGUGCCUUUUGUAGAAUGAACCGGCGAGUUACGAUCCCGUGCGAGGUUAAGCUGAAGAGGCGGAGCCGCAGCGAAAGCGAGUCUGAAUAGGGCGUUUAGUACGUGGUCGUAGACCCGAAACCAGGUGAUCUACCCAUGUCCAGGGUGAAGUUCAGGUAACACUGAAUGGAGGCCCGAACCCACGCACGUUGAAAAGUGCGGGGAUGAGGUGUGGGUAGCGGAGAAAUUCCAAUCGAACCUGGAGAUAGCUGGUUCUCCCCGAAAUAGCUUUAGGGCUAGCCUUAAGUGUAAGAGUCUUGGAGGUAGAGCACUGAUUGGACUAGGGGUCCUCAUCGGAUUACCGAAUUCAGUCAAACUCCGAAUGCCAAUGACUUAUCCUUAGGAGUCAGACUGCGAGUGAUAAGAUCCGUAGUCAAAAGGGAAACAGCCCAGACCGCCAGCUAAGGUCCCAAAGUGUGUAUUAAGUGGAAAAGGAUGUGGAGUUGCUUAGACAACUAGGAUGUUGGCUUAGAAGCAGCCACCAUUUAAAGAGUGCGUAAUAGCUCACUAGUCGAGUGACUCUGCGCCGAAAAUGUACCGGGGCUAAAUACACCACCGAAGCUGCGGAUUGAUACCGAAUGGUAUCAGUGGUAGGGGAGCGUUCUAAGGACAGUGAAGUCAGACCGUAAGGACUGGUGGAGUGCUUAGAAGUGAGAAUGCCGGUAUGAGUAGCGAAAGACGGGUGAGAAUCCCGUCCACCGAAUGCCUAAGGUUUCCUGAGGAAGGCUCGUCCGCUCAGGGUUAGUCAGGACCUAAGCCGAGGCCGACAGGCGUAGGCGAUGGACAACAGGUUGAUAUUCCUGUACCACCUCUUUAUCGUUUGAGCAAUGGAGGGACGCAGAAGGAUAGAAGAAGCGUGCGAUUGGUUGUGCACGUCCAAGCAGUUAGGCUGAUAAGUAGGCAAAUCCGCUUAUCGUAAAGGCUGAGCUGUGAUGGGGAAGCUCCUUAUGGAGCGAAGUCUUUGAUUCCCCGCUGCCAAGAAAAGCUUCUAGCGAGAUAAAAGGUGCCUGUACCGCAAACCGACACAGGUAGGCGAGGAGAGAAUCCUAAGGUGUGCGAGAGAACUCUGGUUAAGGAACUCGGCAAAAUGACCCCGUAACUUCGGGAGAAGGGGUGCUUUCUUAACGGAAAGCCGCAGUGAAUAGGCCCAAGCGACUGUUUAGCAAAAACACAGCUCUCUGCGAAGCCGUAAGGCGAAGUAUAGGGGGUGACACCUGCCCGGUGCUGGAAGGUUAAGGAGAGGGGUUAGCGUAAGCGAAGCUCUGAACUGAAGCCCCAGUAAACGGCGGCCGUAACUAUAACGGUCCUAAGGUAGCGAAAUUCCUUGUCGGGUAAGUUCCGACCCGCACGAAAGGUGUAACGAUUUGGGCACUGUCUCAACCAGAGACUCGGUGAAAUUAUAGUACCUGUGAAGAUGCAGGUUACCCGCGACAGGACGGAAAGACCCCGUGGAGCUUUACUGUAGCCUGAUAUUGAAUUUUGGUACAGUUUGUACAGGAUAGGCGGGAGCCAUUGAAACCGGAGCGCUAGCUUCGGUGGAGGCGCUGGUGGGAUACCGCCCUGACUGUAUUGAAAUUCUAACCUACGGGUCUUAUCGACCCGGGAGACAGUGUCAGGUGGGCAGUUUGACUGGGGCGGUCGCCUCCUAAAGUGUAACGGAGGCGCCCAAAGGUUCCCUCAGAAUGGUUGGAAAUCAUUCGUAGAGUGCAAAGGCAUAAGGGAGCUUGACUGCGAGACCUACAAGUCGAGCAGGGACGAAAGUCGGGCUUAGUGAUCCGGUGGUUCCGCAUGGAAGGGCCAUCGCUCAACGGAUAAAAGCUACCCCGGGGAUAACAGGCUUAUCUCCCCCAAGAGUCCACAUCGACGGGGAGGUUUGGCACCUCGAUGUCGGCUCAUCGCAUCCUGGGGCUGUAGUCGGUCCCAAGGGUUGGGCUGUUCGCCCAUUAAAGCGGUACGCGAGCUGGGUUCAGAACGUCGUGAGACAGUUCGGUCCCUAUCCGUCGUGGGCGUAGGAAAUUUGAGAGGAGCUGUCCUUAGUACGAGAGGACCGGGAUGGACGCACCGCUGGUGUACCAGUUGUUCUGCCAAGGGCAUAGCUGGGUAGCUAUGUGCGGAAGGGAUAAGUGCUGAAAGCAUCUAAGCAUGAAGCCCCCCUCAAGAUGAGAUUUCCCAUAGCGUAAGCUAGUAAGAUCCCUGAAAGAUGAUCAGGUUGAUAGGUUCGAGGUGGAAGCAUGGUGACAUGUGGAGCUGACGAAUACUAAUAGAU